UACGUAUGGGGCAAGCGUUAUCCGGAAUUAUUGGGCGUAAAGAGUGCGUAGGUGGUUACCUAAGCGCAAGGUUUAAUCUUGAGGCUCAACCUCAUUCUGCCUUGCGAACUGGGCUACUUGAGUGCAGGAGGGGAAAGCGGAAUUCCCAGUGUAGCGGUGAAAUGCGUAGAUAUUGGGAAGAACACCGGUGGCGAAGGCGGCUUUCUGGACUGUAACUGACACUGAGGCACGAAAGCGUGGGGAGC
rnacentral:rRNA from 1 species